AUUGAACGCUGGCGGCAGGCUUAACACAUGCAAGUCGAGCGGAGGUGAGGUGCUUGCACCUUAUCUUAGCGGCGGACGGGUGAGUAAUGCUUAGGAAUCUGCCUAUUAGUGGGGGACAACAUUCCGAAAGGAAUGCUAAUACCGCAUACGUCCUACGGGAGAAAGCAGGGGAUCUUCGGACCUUGCGCUAAUAGAUGAGCCUAAGUCGGAUUAGCUAGUUGGUGGGGUAAAGGCCUACCAAGGCGACGAUCUGUAGCGGGUCUGAGAGGAUGAUCCGCCACACUGGGACUGAGACACGGCCCAGACUCCUACGGGAGGCAGCAGUGGGGAAUAUUGGACAAUGGGCGGAAGCCUGAUCCAGCCAUGCCGCGUGUGUGAAGAAGGCCUUUUGGUUGUAAAGCACUUUAAGCGAGGAGGAGGCUACCUAGAUUAAUACUCUGGGAUAGUGGACGUUACUCGCAGAAUAAGCACCGGCUAACUCUGUGCCAGCCGCCGCAGUAAGAC
rnacentral:rRNA from 1 species